UCUAAUAAAGUGGAAGGUUUGUGGAAGUACAAGGUAGGGGUUUCUAAUAAAGUGGCCAGUGAGUGGAAGUACAGGGUAGGUGUUUAUAAUAAAGAGGCCAGUGUGUGGAAGUACAGGGUAGGUGUUUCUAAUAAAGUGGAAAGUUUGUGGAAGUAUAGGGUAGGUGUUUCUAAUAAAAUGGCCAGUUUGUGGAAGUACAAGGUAGGGGUUUCUAAUAAAGUGGCCAGUGAGUGGAAGUACAGGGUAGGUGUUUAUGAUAAAGUGGCCAGUGUAUGGAAGUAUAGGGUAGGGGGUUCUAAUAAAGUGGAAGGUUUGUGGAAGUACAAGGUAGGGGUUUCUAAUAAAGUGGCCAGUGAGUGGAAGUACAGGGUAGGUGUUUAUGAUAAAGUGGCCAGUGUAUGGAAGUAUAGGGUAGGGGGUUCUAAUAAAGUGGAAGGUUUGUGGAAGUACAAGGUAGGGGUUUCUAAUAAAGUGGCCAGUGAGUGGAAGUACAAGGUAGGUGUUUCUAAUAGAGUGGCCAGUGUGUGGAAGUACAGAGUAGGGGUUUC